rnacentral:rRNA from 1 species
UACGAAGGGGGCGAGCGUUGUUCGGAAUCACUGGGCGUAAAGCGUGCGUAGGCGGCGAGGAAAGUUAGGAGUGAAAGCCCAGGGCUCAACCUUGGAAUUGCUCUUAAAACUCCCUCGCUCGAAUCUCGGAGAGGAUAGCGGAAUUGUCAGUGUAGCAGUGAAAUGCGUAGAUAUUGACAGGAACACCAGUGGCGUAAGCGGCUAUCUGGACGAGUAUUGACGCUGAGGCACGAAAGCGUGGGGAUCAAACAGG